rnacentral:rRNA from 1 species
GUGAGGAAUAUUGGUCAAUGGGCGCAAGCCUGAACCAGCCAUGCCGCGUGCAGGAAGACGGUCCUAUGGAUUGUAAACUGCUUUUAUUUGGGAAUAAACUCCGGUACGUGUACCGGCCUGAAGGUACCAAAUGAAUAAGCACCGGCUAACUCCGUGCCAGCAGCCGCGGUAAUACGGAGGGUGCAAGCGUUAUCCGGAAUCAUUGGGUUUAAAGGGUCCGCAGGAGGUCUUAUAAGUCAGUGGUGAAAGCCUACAGCUCAACUGUAGAACUGCCAUUGAUACUGUAGGACUUGAAUUCGAUCGAAGUGGGCGGAAUGUGACAUGUAGCGGUGAAAUGCUUAGAUAUGUCACAGAACACCGAUAGCGAAGGCAGCUCACUAGGUCUGGAUUGACGCUCAGGGACGAAAGCGUGGGGAGCAAACAGGAUUAGAUACCCCUGUAGUCC